rnacentral:rRNA from 1 species
UACGGAGGGUGCGAGCGUUAAUCGGAAUUACUGGGCGUAAAGCGCACGUAGACUGUAUGACAAGUCAAGGGUGAAAUGCCACGGCUCAACCGUGGAACUGCCUUUGAAACUGUCAAACUGGAGUAUGUGAGAGGGCGGCGGAAUUCCUGGUGUAGGAGUGAAAUCCGUAGAUAUCAGGAGGAACAUCAGUGGCGAAGGCGGCCUGCUGGACGGCGACUGACGUUGAGGCUCGAAAGCGUGGGGAGCGAACAGG